CCUACGGGCGGCAGCAGUGGGGGAUAUUGGACAAUGGGCGGGAACCUUGAUCCAGCGACGCCGCGUGAGUGAAGAAGUAUUUCGGUAUGUAAAGCUCUGUUAGCAGGGAAGAAAGCAAUGACGGUACCUGACCAUGAAGCCCCGGCUAACUACGUGCCAGCAGCAGCGGUAAUACGGAGGGGGCAAGCGUGAUCCGGAAUUACUGGGUGUAAAGGGAGCGUAGACGGCUGGGCAAGUCUGGAGUGAAAGGCGGGGGCCCAACCCCCGGACUGCUCGGGAAACUGGAUGGCUGGAGUGCUGGAGAGGUAAGCGGAAUUCGUGGUGUAGCGGUGAAAUGCGUAGAUAUUAGGAGGAACACCAGUGGCGAAGGCGGCUUACUGGACUGUAACUGACGUUGAGGCUCGAAAGCGUGGGGAGCAAACAGGAUUAGAUACCCUUGUAGUC
rnacentral:rRNA from 1 species